GACGAACGCUGGCGGCGUGCUUAACACAUGCAAGUCGAACGAUGAACUACCAGCUUGCUGGUGGGGAUUAGUGGCGAACGGGUGAGUAACACGUGAGUAACCUGCCCUGGACUCUGGGAUAACCCCGAGAAAUCGGAGCUAAUACCGGAUAGGACCUUUCCCUGCAUGGGGUUUGGUGGAAAGUUUUUCGGUCUGGGAUGGACUCGCGGCCUAUCAGCUUGUUGGUGAGGUAAUGGCUCACCAAGGCGUCGACGGGUAGCCGGCCUGAGAGGGUGACCGGCCACACUGGGACUGAGACACGGCACAGACUCCUACGGGAGGCAGCAGUGGGGAAUAUUGCACAAUGGGCGCAAGCCUGAUGCAGCAACGCCGCGUGCGGGAUGACGGCCUUCGGGUUGUAAACCGCUUUUAGUAGGGAAGAAGGGCUUCGGCUUGACGGUACCUGCAGAAAAAGGACCGGCUAACUACGUGCCAGCCGCCACCGUAACAC
rnacentral:rRNA from 1 species